AUACAGAGGGUGCGAGCGUUAAUCGGAUUUACUGGGCGUAAAGGGCGCGUAGGCGGUGAGAUGUGUGUGAUGUGAAAGCCCCGGGCUUAACCUGGGAAGUGCAUCGCAAACUGUCUGACUGGAGUAUAUGAGAGGGUGGCGGAAUUUCCGGUGUAGCGGUGAAAUGCGUAGAUAUCGGAAGGAACGUCGAUGGCGAAGGCAGCCACCUGGCAUAAUACUGACGCUGAGGCGCGAAAGCGUGGGGAUC
rnacentral:rRNA from 1 species